AUGGCCGUGCUGCUCACCUCCUUUCCGCCGGCGUUUUCCUGCCCCGCAUCCUCGAGCAAGAGGCCAGUUAUCACCGCCUCGUCCUUCAUCUUGCCGGUCGGUUGUGAGCACAACUUACCGGCCCUGAAGACGGCUGCUGCCCGCCCGCGCCUUGCGCUCGCCCGGGCUCAGAACGGCGACGCGCGGCUGCGGGCCAGACAGCGGCCGCUCGCCGACGACCACUUCCACGACGAGAUGGAGCGGAUCACGCAGCACUACCUCGACAUCAUCUCCAGUGACAGCGGCUUCCUCUAUGCCGAGGCUACGGCUAUGUCGGCGCGGGUCUGCCUGUCGGCUAACAAGGCCCUCAUCAUGGCGUCCCGCGUGGUGGACAGCGCGCGACUCAACCUCGGCACGCCCAGCGAGAUCUCCGCCGAGACCAUCCACGGGACCGUCCGCACGUACGCGGCCGUCUUCUCUGCCGCCGCUGACGACUCUUACAAGAAGUCGGUCAACAGGAACACGGUGGCCUCGUUCCUCGGCGCCCUGAGAGGUCUGGCCGCCGUGAGCCACAUCCUGCUCCAGGGCGCCCUCGAGUCCCUCUGCCACGGGCACCCGAGGGUCGCCGUGUCCGAGUACGCUUUCAACUCCGACGUGGAGGACAUGUACCGCGAGUUCGUGCAGGGGAUGCGCGACGUGGAGGAUGAGAUACGGAGCGCUAGCGCAGUGAAGACGUGCAGGCUGGUGGUGCCGGCGAUCCUUGCCUGCACGGAGCUCGCGGGGUCAUUCGUAGGACUUAUGCUGGAUCGGCGUAGGAGGGCGCUGGAGAAGGCGCGUAGCUAA
rnacentral:rRNA from 1 species